UACGUAGGGUGCAAGCGUUAUCCGGAAUUAUUGGGCGUAAAGCGCGCGCAGGCGGUCCUUUAAGUCUGAUGUGAAAGCCCACGGCUCAACCGUGGAGGGUCAUUGGAAACUGGGGGACUUGAGUACAGAAGAGGAAAGUGGAAUUCCACGUGUAGCGGUGAAAUGCGUAGAGAUGUGGAGGAACACCAGUGGCGAAGGCGACUUUCUGGUCUGUAACUGACGCUGAGGCGCGAAAGCGUGGGGAGCAAACAGG
rnacentral:rRNA from 1 species